GGGGGCGUCUGGUUUCGACGGGUAAGCUAGACUAUUGACUGCAUGUCGAGGAUUUCAAGUUACCUCGUAAAUCAUCUUGGAACAAACCUUAAAUGCCGAUUAUGGCUACGCUGCUGCCGCUUAAAUAGUUCGGUAGCCAUUCCCUUUAGAAUUUGUCUGUGAUUUUAUAUGGGAAUGUUAUCUUUAGCAGACUGGUUCAAUUUUGUGUCUGUCAGAAUUGAAUAAGAACUUUCAGACUGGUUAAUUUUGCGGAGGGUUGUAACCAAUAAAUUAAUGAGAUCCAAGAUCAGCCUAUGCAUGUAGAUGUUAAUAGAGUACCUUUCUCGGACGGGAGUUCGAAUCUCCCCGCCUCCACAA
rnacentral:tmRNA from 1 species